rnacentral:rRNA from 1 species
GACGACCGCUGGCGGCGUGCCUAAUACAUGCAAGUCGAACGCUGAAGGAGGAGCUUGCUUCUCUGGAUGAGUUGCGAACGGGUGAGUAACGCGUAGGUAACCUGCCUGGUAGCGGGGGAUAACUAUUGGAAACGAUAGCUAAUACCGCAUAAUAGUAGAUGUUGCAUGACAUUUGCCUAAAAGGUGCAAUUGCAUCACUACCAGAUGGACCUGCGUUGUAUUAGCUAGUUGGUGGGGUAACGGCUCACCAAGGCGACGAUACAUAGCCGACCUGAGAGGGUGAUCGGCCACACUGGGACUGAGACACGGCCCAGACUCCUACGGGAGGCAGCAGUAGGGAAUCUUCGGCAAUGGACGGAAGUCUGACCGAGCAACGCCGCGUGAGUGAAGAAGGGUUUCGGAUCGUAAAGCUCUGUUGUAAGAGAAGAACGAGUGUGAGAGUGGAAAGUUCACACUGUGACGGUAGCUUACCAGAAAGGGACGGCUAACUACGUG